UUUGAGUAAAUGAAUUCUUUUCUUGAUUUAUAAACAUUUUUGUUGGUGUAGAAUGGAUUCGUUGGACGUCUAUUUAUCCAAGAAACAACAACGGGCAAAGGAUUUGUUUCAUUCUGGGAAAAAGGUCAACGUAGUGAAGCCAUUAGUGGACGUCGACGUCCCAGCAAAACCGAGCGAAGUGGGGUUGUGGAAAAAGAGGCUAGCUUUCAACAUUUCGUCAACAUCGAAUGAGAAACUGUGAGAACUCCGUCCACAAGAAAGGGAUGCAACAAAUCAAUCAAAAUUUGCGACAAACCAGCUAUCCCUUUCAGAUUCACUUCGAAUGCGUUACCAUUUGCUUCACCAACUCCUCGUAAGAAAUUUGACUUACAAGCAAGCCUUUCAAAACGCCUUAACUACACACCGUACACAGGUAAACUACCAGCCCUGUCUCAUGGAAAACAAAUUCCCGAGGUCAAGAGUAGGAAACCAGUUAAUCACAAACAAGAUAUGAAAGCGGUUAAAAUCUCGACAAGCCGAAGUCUACGUCUUUCAAGACAACGAAACGCGCAAAGUCAAGCUCGACAGUCAGCUCUGAGCAGAAGAAGAGGUUUGAACAACUAAGAGGAGGAGCCAGAAUGUGUGUCCUAGGCAUUUUUUCUUUGUAUAUAAUACAAUUAACUUUAAAUUCAUAUUUUGCUGAUUACAUUGCGGCUUUGAUCUUUCUUUAUGAUUCCACAAACAAUUUUUUUCUCAAUUCAAACUUUGAGAAUAGAUUUCGUUUGCUUUCCUUUCGUAAA